rnacentral:rRNA from 1 species
AUGCAAGUCGAACGCAGUAGCAAUACUGAGUGGCAAACGGGUGAGUGUAAUGUGGGAAUCUGCCUUUUGGUUUGGAAUAACACGGGGAAACUUGUGCUAAUACCGGAUAAGCCCUUACGGGGAAAGUUUUAACGCCGAAAGAUGAGCCUGCACUUGAUUAGCUAGUUGGUAAGGUAAAAGCUUACCAAGGCAACGAUCAAUAGCUGUUCUUAGAGGAAGACCAGCCACAUUGGGACUGAGACACGGCCCAGACUCCUACGGGAGGCAGCAGUGGGGAAUCUUGCACAAUGGGGGAAACCCUGAUGCAGCGAUGCCGCGUGAGUGAAGAAGGCCUUUGGGUUGUAAAACUCUUUCGUCGGGGAAGAAAAUGACUGUACCCGAAUAAGAAGGUCCGGCUAACUUCGUGCCAGCAGCCGCGGUAAUACGAGGGGACCUAGCGUAGUUCGGAAUUACUGGGCUUAAAGAGCUCGUAGGUGGUUAAAAAAGUUGAUGGUGAAAUCCCAAGGCUCAACCUUGGAACUGCCAUCAAAACUUUUUAGCUAGAGUGUGAUAGAGGUAAGUGGAAUUUCUAGUGUAGAGGUGAAAUUCGUAGAUAUUAGAAAGAACACCAAAUGCGAAGGCAACUUACUGGGUCACUACUGACACUGAGGAGCGAAAGCAUGGGUAGCGAAGAGGAUUAGAUACCCUCGUAGUCCAUGCCGUAAACGAUGUGUGCUAGACGUUGGAAAUAUAUUUUUCAGUGUCGCAGCG